UAUUGGUCAAUGGCCUAGCGGCUGAACCAGCAACUUGGAGGAAUGUAUAGAAAAAGCUGGUAAAAAGUGAUGUAUCUACAAGUAUUAGUGAUUAAUAUGAGAUUAACUUAGUUAAUUAAAAUUCUAUGUAAAUAUCUGAUUAUGACAAUAUUUGCUUAUGUCUUGACCAAAUCACGUGCCAGCAGUCGCGGUAAGACGUGGAAGAUAAGUGUUAUUCAUGUUUAAUAGGUUUAAAGGGUACCUAGACGGCUAAUUAAACACUUUAAUGUAUUAAUUAACUAGAGUUUGAUAUAAGAAGGUUUGAGUACGGUGAGUGUAGAGAUAAAAUUCUAUUAGACCAUUAUGGAACUGGUAAAGGCGAAGGCAACCUUCUAUGUAAAAACUGACGUUGAAGGACGAAGG
rnacentral:rRNA from 1 species